CCUACGGGAGGCAGCAGUGGGGAAUAUUGGACAAUGGGCGCAAGCCUGAUCCAGCAAUGCCGCGUGAGUGAUGAAGGCCUUAGGGUCGUAAAGCUCUUUUACCAGGGAUGAUAAUGACAGUACCUGGAGAAUAAGCUCCGGCUAACUCCGUGCCAGCAGCCGCGGUAAUACGGAGGGAGCUAGCGUUGUUCGGAAUUACUGGGCGUAAAGCGUACGUAGGCGGUUAUUCAAGUCAGAGGUGAAAGCCCGGGGCUCAACCCCGGAACGGCCUUUGAAACUAGGUAGCUAGAAUCUUGGAGAGGUCAGUGGAAUUCCGAGUGUAGAGGUGAAAUUCGUAGAUAUUCGGAAGAACACCAGUGGCGAAGGCGACUGACUGGACAAGUAUUGACGCUGAGGUACGAAAGCGUGGGGAGCAAACAGGAUUAGAUACCCUGGUAGUCCACGCCGUAAACGAUGAUAACUAGCUGUCCGGGCACUUGGUGCCUGGGUGGCGCAGCUAACGCAUUAAGUUAUCCGCCUGGGGAUACGGUCGCAAGAUUAAAACUUAAAUGAAAUUGAACGGCUGAGACGNGCGAGACGACGACGAGGAGAGG
rnacentral:rRNA from 1 species